rnacentral:rRNA from 1 species
CAGCAGCCGCGGGAAAACGUAGGGUGCAAGCGUUAAUCGGAAUUACUGGGCGUAAAGCGUGCGCAGGCGGUUAUAUAAGACAGAUGUGAAAUCCCCGGGCUCAACCUGGGAACUGCAUUUGUGACUGUAUAGCUAGAGUACGGCAGAGGGGGAUGGAAUUCCGCGUGUAGCAGUGAAAUGCGUAGAUAUGCGGAGGAACACCGAUGGCGAAGGCAAUCCCCUGGGCCUGUACUGACGCUCAUGCACGAAAGCGUGGGGAGCAAACAGGAUUAGAUACCCCAGUAGUCCCUGUCUCUUAUAC